GCGGAAUAUGUCAUGUAGCGGUGAAAUGCAUAGAUAUGACAUGGAACACCAAUUGCGAAGGCAGCUCACUAAGCUAUUACUGACGCUCAUGAACGAAAGCGUGGGGAGCGAACAGGAUUAGAUACCCUGGUAGUCCACGCCGUAAACUAUGAUCACUAGAUGUUGGCGAUAUAUUGUCAGUGUUUUAGAGAAAUCGUUAAGUGAUCCACCUGGGGAGUACGUUCGCAAGAAUGAAACUCAAAGGAAUUGACGGGGGCCCGCACAAGCGGAGGAGCAUGUGGUUUAAUUCGAUGAUACGCGAGGAACCUUACCAAGACUUAAAUGUAUUUUGCUAGAUUGAGAAAUCAAUUUUUCUUCGGACAAUCUACAAGGUGCUGCAUGGUUGUCGUCAGCUCGUGCCGUGAGGUGUCGGGUUAAGUCCCAUAACGAGCGCAACCCCUAUCUCUAGUUACCAGCGAGUAAUGUCGGGAACUCUAGAGAGACUGCCUGUGUAAACAGUGAGGAAGGUGGGGAUGAUGUCAAAUCAUCACGGCCCUUAUGUCUUGGGCUACACACGUGCUACAAUGGUUACUACAGUGGGCUGCCAUCUGGUGACAGAGAGCAAAUCCAUAAAGGUAAUCCCAGUUCGGAUCGGAGUCUGCAACUCGACUCUGUGAAGUUGGAUUCGCUAGUAAUCGUAUAUCAGCAAUGAUACGGUGAAUACGUUCCCGCCCUUUGCACACACCGCCCG
rnacentral:rRNA from 1 species